UGAAUCCAUCCCGAACUCAGCAGUGAAACACACCAGCGCCGAUGGUAGUGUGGGGUCUCCCCAUGCGAGAGUAGGACACCGCCAGAC
rnacentral:rRNA from 1 species